CAUUCAUAUGUUAAUCAGUAUUAUCAGUCACAUUCCGUUUUUACACACAGUAAAAGUCACGUAAAAGAACUGUCAAAAAACACGUGCCCCAAUGGACACCGGGCACCAUACAAUAGAACUUAUUCACCAGGACAUCGUAAAAAAUCAUCUUCAAGUUACGGCUUUAAUACAAGAUAUUCAACAAUGUACUGGCCCUUUAGAGUUACUUAAUGAAUUAAAUGCAGAAGGCAGAGCAAAAAUAGCAGCUCUAAAGUCAUCUAUAGAUGAAUUAGUAUCAGUAGCAGAAAGAGAAUCCUCAGAGAAAAAAAAGGCAGAGUUAUUGGCAGAAGUAGAUACUUAUAAACAACAACUUAAUACUUCUUUAGCUGCAUUUCGUAAAGCUAAUGUUGUUAGUGUAUGUGUGAUAGAUAAACUUGCUAAGGAAGAAUUGCUCUCUAUGCCUGAAGAGCAACAAGCUGCUGUUCGUAGAAGACAUGAUAAACAAAACCUAGCAAACACAUCGAGUCAGCUUUCAGACAAACUUUUAAGUAUAUCUAGACAUUUAGCUGAAACAACUCAAAAAAGUGCAGACACAUUGGAUACACUAAUAACAUCAUCAGAUAAAGUUAUCAGUACCAAAGAUGAAUUAGAACAUCAACAACAAGUUAUAGUUCAAUCUGGAAAACUUUUAGAAAUGUGCAAUUGCAGUUGCUGCGCGAAUGCAUCGACAUUCCAAGUAAAUGAAUCUUUAUAUCACCGUGCAUUUUAUUGUAGCAGAAUUUGUACACACGUAGAAUACAAAAAAAGUUGAAGCGCAUGGUAAAUGCAAAUUUUAUUAUAAUUCGCAUCAAACAAUAAGAGUCUUCUCCAAGUUCAAUGCGACAGUAAGAAGAAAAACAAUUGUAUACGAAAAUUCUACAAUGAUUUGAACUAAGCAGUCAAAAAUAAUAUUUUUGAUAAAUCAUGGUACGAUAAGGAUAAUCUUUACUUUGGCAUUUCCUAUCUCACAUGAAAGAUUAGGAAUAUUGAUGGCAAAAAAACUCUGUUAAACUCGACAAUAAUUUUUUGAAAGAAGAAAAAAGAAACGAAUUUGAUUUAAUUGUUUCGUUUGAAAAAAAUAAAUGAUUAUCGUAUUAAAGUAAACCAUACAGUACACUAAGAAUAUCAAGUUUUAAAAACAUUGAUCAUUGUAUAAUUUUUCAUAAUCAAUAGAUUUCUAAACUUUAAAGUGUCAUGUUCUAUUCAUCAAGAACUACAUUAGAAAGUUUAAAAAAAGUUUUUAAGAGAUACUUUAAAAUGAAUUAUAGUAUAGAAAAACAUUAUAAUAAAUUGAACGAUGUUCUUAAGUUUAUAUAGACAAUAAAAUAUAAAAUAAUUAGAGAUAGAUCUAUAGACGUUUACAAGGACGUUUCAAUAUAUUUUUUUCCGGGGGUAUGGUUGGCGUAUAAAAGAGCAGUAAGCAUCCAGCAUCAUUUCAUUGCGACAGUGUAUUUGUUACCGCGAGUACAGUUCAAACUCUUUAAUAAGUCUAAAAAGAAAGAUGUAAUUAGCCGAAUAUUUGCUCCGGAUCAAAUUCUUACAAAUUUCGCGGUUUAAUCAAUCGUAGUUAAAUAGUGAAAAGUUAAAAGAGGGAGUGUCGCUAAUCAAUUUGUUUAGAAAGUGUGAAGUUUGAAAGUAAAAAUACGAAAAGACCGAAUACAUACUGUAUGUGUUCUCUAAGUAAAAAAUUUUGAAAUAUUGUAAGCAAAAUGAAAAUUUUAUUCUUAGUUUUAUUGUUGAUUGUUACUGGAUCUUCAGCCCCUUGGGUUGAAAUUCUUUUCGGUAAACAAGCAGACUAUAAUUAUCAACCAUCAAAUUAUAAAAAUCAACAAUAUAGACGACAUGGAAAAGGAGGAAAGGAAAGAUGGAAAGAUAUUUGCAGAACGAUAAAUCCGGAUCCUUAUGCGUUUCCGGGACGAGUUCCCUAUCUUUCUGGACCAAUUUGUCCUUGGUAAUCAAAAAGAAGUUAAAUGCACGUAUAUAAUUAAACCACACACACAAAUCCAUUAAAAAUAUGAAUUUAUUGUAACAAUAUAUCAGGGAAUAUGAAGAUAUUCACUGGUUAUGAGUAUUUCAGUCGGUAUACAAGUUUACUAUGUAAUCAAUUACAUAAAAGUAUGCAGUCGUGUUAUACCUGCCAGUAUAAACUAUGUAUCAAGGAAUAAAUUUGUUAACGAUACCUUUCUUGUA